UACGGAGGAUGCAAGCGUUAUCCGGAUUUAUUGGGUUUAAAGGGUGCGCAGGUUGUUUGAUAAGUCAGUGGUGAAAGUCUGUCGCUUAACGGUAGGAUUGCCAUUGAUACUGUUGGACUUGAAUAUGGAUGAGGUAGGCGGAAUGUGUAGUGUAGCGGUGAAAUGCAUAGAUAUUACACAGAACACCGAUUGCGAAGGCAGCUUACUAAUCCAUCAUUGACGCUGAGGCACGAAAGCGUGGGGAGUGAACA
rnacentral:rRNA from 1 species